rnacentral:lncRNA from 1 species
GGAAACAGUUUCUAUAGCGACUGGGGGGUGGGCGGAGGGUGAAGAGAGAGGGUGUGGCCUUCCACCCUUUAGGUAAUUACCCAAUUUAGUCUCUAGCAGCAGCCGGGUUAGUCUGCUCCGACUUGGUGCGGCCACUCCAACACCUGCCCCCACCGGACCAAAGUAAGGAGGAGCGGGGGAAGGGGACCGCGUUAUGACGCACCUCAGAACCUCCCACCGCUCUGGCCCGCCCCCAAGUUGUAUUCUGAACUCAGAGUGGGAAGAUGGAAUUUGGGGGCCUCCCUUGACACCUGCAAAGGUGCACUGGCAGUGACACAUUUCGUCCGUUUUUUCAUCUCAUCCCAGCAAGGCUAAUAGUGAGCGAAAGAUCACAGUCAUUCUUGACCAUCAGUGCCUUGGAAUGAAUAGAACGCUGGCCAUCAACAUGAAUGCGCUAUCUUUAAACCACCCUCGCUCAUGUACCCACCUGCUAUCCCUAAACAUAAACUAAGCAACCAUUCACAUUGAUACAGUGUUUUACAGUUUAUGGAAUGCCUUCUCUUGAACCUCGACAAUCUAGCCAGAAAGAAAACUAAGGCGGCUUGGUGGGAUGGCCAUUAGGGUCGGGUGCGGGAGGGGGGCAGGCAUGAGAGCUGUCUUCUAAUAUUCAAAGGCUGUAAUCAUUGAAAGGGACUACACUGACUCUUCAGGGCAGAAAUAGGGCCAAAGAAUGGAAGUGACUGGGGCAAAGUAUAUAGGUUUCGGCCGAAUUUAAGAAAGAACUUUAUAACAAUUAGAAUUGCCCUAACCUACAUUCACUUAAUCGCCUUCUGAAAUAGUGAACUUCUUAUCCCGGGACAGCUCAUGAAAAGAGACAAUAUGAGCUCUCUGGCACGUUGUGGAGAGAUUCUUCCAUCCAGAAGAACGAUUUACAAGAUGAACCCUAUGUCCCCUUCUAGCUUUAAGAUUCUAUAAAUCUGGGUAGAUAGAGUGGGCAUUUCGCUGUUGAGUCACUUCAGUGGAGUGACUCUUUGUCACCUUAUUUAGGAUUUUCUUGGCAGAGACUAGGGUGGUUUGCUAUGUCCUUCACUUAAUGAAAUUGAGGCAAACGGAAUAAGUGACAGGGUAACAUAGCUAGUAAGUACCUGAGGCUUGAUUUGAACUCAGAAAGAGGAGUCUCCCUGACUCUAUCCACUGCACUACCCAGAAUAUUAUUUACCCCCAUUUUACAGAUGAACAAACAUUAUCAGAGGUUUAGACACACUCAGGUUGAUGUGGCUAAUAGUAGAGUCAGAUCUUGAAUUGGGAUCUCCUAACAGACUGGUUCUCUUCUAUAUCCCAUAAAACAAAAACAUAUGGGUCAUAGGUGGAACAAAGAAACAUUUAUUUGCCCUCAGAGUAUCACUUCCUUCCACUGUGAAUAUGUACAGUAUUAAUGGUAUUUCCAGGAAUUAGAUUUCUUUUCAACCAGCUGCUAUGAGGACAAAUUAGUCACAGGGCACUGAAGCUGACCCAUACUAUUACAAGGGAUUUGAUGGAUGGUCUUUUUCAAGGAGACAUCCCUGCCUGUUCAGAGGAAUCCUUUGCAACCUCUACAAGAUCUGGGAGGUCUAGUCUGUUAACCCAAGCUGGGCAAAUCCAUAAAUAAAGUGUAUUCACUGGGUAAAUCA